rnacentral:lncRNA from 1 species
GUCCCCACUAGGCCACUGCCUAAUGGAACUGUGAAAAGAGAGCCACCAUCCUUCAAACCCCAGAAUGGUAAAUCUACUGACAGCUUGUACCCUGCACCUGGAAAAGCCACAGGUACUCAAGGCCAGCCUGUGACAGCAGCCUUGGGGGCUGGACCCUGCAAAGCCACAGGGGCAGACCUGCCCAAGGCCUUGGGAGUCCAAUUCUAACACCAGUAUGCCCUGGAUGUAAGAUAUGGAGUCAAAGGAGAUUAUUUUGAAGCUUUAAGAUUUAAUGACUGCCCUGCUGGAGUCUUGCAUGGAGCCGAUAGCCCCUUUCUUUUGGCUGAUUGCUUCCUUUUGAAAUGGGAAUGUUUACUCAAUGCUUGUACUCCCAUUGUAUCUCGGAAGUAACUAAACUGAUUUUUAUUUUACAGGCUCAUAGGUAGAAGGGACUUGCCUUGUCUCAGAUGAGGCUUUGAACUUUUGAGUUAAUGCUGGAAUGAGUUAAAACUUUGGGGAAGGCAUGAUUGUAUUUUGAAACAUGAGAAAGAUAUAAGAUUUGGGAAGGGUCAGGGGUGGAAUGAUGUGGUUUGGUGAUGUGUCUCUGCCCAAAUUUCAUGUUGAAUUGCAAUCCCCAAUGUUGGAGGUGGGACCUGGUGGGAGGUGAUUGGAUCAUAGGGGUGGAUUUCUCAUGAAUGGUUUAGCACCAUUCCCUUGGUGCUCUUCUCAUGAUAGUGAGUGAGUUCUCACGAGAUCUGUUGCUUAAAAGGGUGUGGUACCUCCAACCCCAACUCUUGCUCCUGCUCUGGCCAUGCAAAGUGCCUAUUCCUCCUUUACCUUCUGCCAUGAUUGUAAGUUUCCUGAGGCCUUCACAGAGGCUGAGCAAAUGCCAGCAUCAUGCUUCGUGUAAGGUCUGCAGAAUCAUGAGCCAAUUAAACCUCUUUUCUUUAUGAAUUACCCAGUCUCAGGUAUUUCUUUAUGGCAAUGAGAUAAUGGCCUUAUACACCCUAUCUCUUAAAAAAGCACACACACACACACA